rnacentral:rRNA from 1 species
CUACGGGGGGCAGCAGCUAGGAAACUUCUACAAUGCACGCAAGUGUGAUAGAGCAAGCCAGAGUGAUUCUCUAUAAUUGAGCAUCUUUUGUGAAAUACAAAAAGUUUCACGAAUAAGGACUGGGAAAGACUGGUGCCAGCCGCCGGCGGUAAUACCAGCAGUUCAAGUGGCAGCCACUUUUAUUGGGUCUAAAACAUCCGUAGCUUGCUUUGUAAGUCUCGUGUGAAAUCUGACAUCUUAAGUGUCGGGCGUGCACGAGAUACUGCUUGGCUUGAGACCGGGAGACGUAAGGAGUACGGAUAGGGUAGCGGUAAAAUGCGUUGAUCCCAUCUGGACUAACGAUAGCGAAGGCACCUUACGAGAACGGAUCUGACAGUGAGGGAUGAAGGCUAGGGUCGCAAAACGGAUUAGAUACCCUUGUAGUC